rnacentral:rRNA from 1 species
UACGAAGGGGGCUAGCGUUGUUCGGAAUCACUGGGCGUAAAGGGCGCGUAGGCGGCCGAUCAAGUCGGGGGUGAAAGCCUGUGGCUCAACCACAGAAUUGCCUUUGAUACUGGCAAUCUUGAGGCUGGAAGAGGUUAGUGGAAUUCCCAGUGUAGAGGUGAAAUUCGUAGAUAUUGGGAAGAACACCAGUGGCGAAGGCGGCUAACUGGUCCAGAUCUGACGCUGAGGUGCGAAAGCGUGGGGAGCAAACAGG